UACGUAGGGGGCGAGCGUUGUCCGGAAUCAUUGGGCGUAAAGAGCUCGGUAGGCGGUUUGUCGCGUCUGCUGUGAAAACCUAAGGCUCCAACCUUGGGCUUGCAGUGGGUACGGGCAGACUAGAGGUGCGGUAGGGGUGACUGGAAUUCCGUGGUGAUAGCGGUGGAAUGCGCAGAUAUCAGGAGGAACACCAAUGGCGAAGGCAGCUCGCUGGGACGGUACUGAACGCUGGAG
rnacentral:rRNA from 1 species